GGAAUUGUAGCUCAGUUGGGAGAGCAGAGGAAUCCAGAUCCUCCGGUCAAAGGUUCAAACCCUUUCAAUUCCC
rnacentral:tRNA from 2 species